UUGGGAAACCAUGUGCCUAGACCAGUAUGAGUAGUAGUACGUUCUUGAAAGAAAAGCAAUCAGCUUGGAGUCAUCCAUGUUCAUCCUCGGCGUAUUAACAAUUGACCUUCUAUGCUUUCAGUUUCAGCAACCCCUUUUGUUAUUCCUGUUGACUUUGUACUCAGAUAGGGCAGGAUAACAUGUGCAUACACAUACUCUUUCACAAAUAAAAAGAAGUGAAUACAUAGUAGUAUAUAUACGUGCAUUGUAUAGCGUAUCUCUCUCGUCAAGAAACUAUCAGAAUAAGAUCGCUAAAGAAAACUAUCAGAAAAGGAGAAUCAAGAUACCUACCUGUAGCACGCAAAGCAUGAUGAGCACGAUGCUGCUUGUACAAAGUGAAGCAGACCCGUUUCUAUCCAAAAGGAUCAUGAUCAAUACCAACAUCAUAUCCUGCUUUGCAGAUCCGGUGAGAUCGCCCUUGGCUUUAGACAUGGAAUUGAUGAAGCAUCGAACUUUGAGACACAAACUGUAGUGAUGAUGAGUAGAGAGACGACAAACCCAACCC
rnacentral:lncRNA from 1 species